CCUUAGCCCAUUCUCAGCAGUGCACAUGCCCAUGGCCCCUGCCCAUCACGGUGGGUCUCUGUAGGACCUUUUCUAGUUUCUCCACAGUUCCAACUGUGAUGUGUAGGGCUGGAUGCAGUAUUCCAGGGCAGCCUCACCAGUGCUGAGCAGAAAGGGGUGACAGUUUUCCUAAGUCUGCUGGCCAUCCUCCUCCUAAUGCAGCCAAGUGGUUAGUUUGCCUAAUUUGCAGUGAGAGCUUAAUUUAAUAAAUACUAGAUUGAACAGAUUCUGAAGAAAUUUGCUAUGGAUAACAAGAAAAUAUCUGCAAGAAGGCUGAAUGAACAGUACAUGAGAUGUCAGUUUGGGAACUGGUGAUGUGUUUGGCAGGAGUUUCAGCCAGAUGGAGGAAGAAUGGCUUCUGUGGUCAGAAGGUUAAAGGAACAGGGAAGGUAUGAAACAGAAGUGAAGAAACUGAGGAAUUCACCAUGCAGACAGGUAUGUCUGUGCCUUGCCUUUGCGUUGCUCAUCCAGAUUUUGCCUUGCCUCCUAAGUUUCCUGGCCUGCUUAGGGAACUGCCUCACUGCUGCAGCUUCACCUGGCGAUUGCUGGUCCAUGACCAGCUCAGCCCAUGACUGGGCUCAGCACUGGCCCCAGCCCUCCUUGGCUUGGCGCACUGGAGCACAGGGGGGCUGUGACCCACGGGAAGGAAGAGGAGGGCAGAGUCCUGCUGGCCCGUGGGCAACCAUUUCCCCAGCUGGCCUGUGCCCAUGUGCUUCUCUAUAAACAGCCUGCGGUGGAGUUUGUAACGUAUAUUUUUUACUGUUGCACAGAAACAACUAUUUUCAUUUAAGUUUAUUUUCACAACAGAGAUGUAACAAAGUUCCGGUGUAUAUUCUGAAAGAAACAUGCUGAGUGUUUUUGUUUUUUGUUUUGUUUUAGGAGUGAGAUUCCUGUGCUUCUUUAUUUUGAUUAUCUAAUAGAAGUAGUCUCUUCCUACUGUAAUUCAUUUUUACUGUCUCUCAAAUAUUUUGCAUUGUUUCUCAUUCCACCACUGACUUUCCAACCAAGUUUUAUAAUAAAAUACAAGCCAGAGUGAAAUACUUCUCUGAA
rnacentral:lncRNA from 1 species